ACGAACUCAGCUCUGAUGAUCCACAACACAACUCUCACAACUUUCUUCAUUAACUCUGCUGCUUUUUCUAACUGCAAUUGGAAGCUCCAAAUCCUGCUUUAACUGACAUCUAUACAUAACAAGAUUGUUCGGCAUGUCUACUCAGCCAAAACCAAAGCUUGGUAGGCUUCCCAGUAUCAGAGAUCGCGUUGAAGACACUCUCUCUGCUCAUCGUAACGAACUCAUUUCUCUUCUCUCCAGGUAUGUGGCUCAGGGGAAAGGGAUUUUGCAACCUCAUAACUUAAUUGAUGAACUUGACAACAUCCCUGGGGACGAUCAAGCAAAGCUGGAUCUUAAAAAUGGUCCCUUCGGUGAAAUUAUCAGGGCAGCACAGGAAGCCAUAGUUUUGCCUCCUUUUGUGGCAAUAGGAGUUCGUCCAAGACCUGGUGUUUGGGAAUAUGUCCGUGUUAAUGUCUCUGAACUGAGCGUGGAGCAAUUAAGCGUUGCUGAAUAUCUGAGCUUUAAGGAAGAACUUGUGGAUGGAAAGAAUAAUGACAAUUUUGUACUGGAACUUGAUUUUGAGCCAUUUAAUGCCUCAUUCCCUCGUCCAUCCCGUUCAUCAUCCAUUGGCAAUGGUGUCCAAUUUCUCAAUCGCCACCUUUCAUCAAUUAUGUUCCGCAACAAAGACUCCUUGGACCCCUUGCUUGAUUUCCUCCGAGCUCACAAGUAUAAGGGCCAUGCUCUGAUGUUGAAUGACAGAAUACAGAACAUUUCCAAACUCCAGACUGCUCUGGCCAAGACUGAGGAUUAUCUUAAUAAGAUUCCACGUGAUACACCUUAUUCAGAGUUUGAAUACGUGUUACAAGGAAUGGGUUUUGAGAGAGGAUGGGGUGAUACUGCUGAAAGGGUAUUGGAAACGAUGCAUCUGCUACUGGAUAUUCUUCAGGCUCCUGAUCCUUCUACCCUAGAGACUUUUCUUGGCAGAGUGCCAAUGGUAUUCAAUGUUGUUAUAUUGUCUCCUCAUGGCUUCUUCGGACAAGCCAAUGUCUUGGGUUUGCCUGACACUGGUGGGCAGGUUGUUUAUAUACUAGAUCAAGUGCGUGCCCUUGAGAAUGAGAUGCUCCUUCGGAUUAAGAAACAAGGACUAGAUUUCACUCCUAGAAUUCUGAUUGUUACCAGGCUAAUACCCGAUGCAAAGGGGACAACUUGCAAUCAACGACUAGAAAGAGUCAGUGGUACCGAGCACACACAUAUUUUGCGAGUUCCAUUCAGAUCAGAGUCAGGAACUCUCCGUAAAUGGAUUUCAAGGUUUGAUGUGUGGCCUUAUCUAGAGACUUAUUCAGAGGACGUUGCCAGUGAAAUUGCUGCUGAGUUACAAGGUUAUCCUGACUUCAUCAUUGGAAACUACAGUGAUGGGAAUCUUGUUGCAUCUUUAUUGGCUUAUAAAAUGGGAGUUACACAGUGCACCAUCGCCCAUGCACUUGAGAAGACAAAAUAUCCGGAUUCAGAUAUAUACUGGAAGAAAUUUGAUGACAAAUAUCACUUUUCAUGCCAGUUCACUGCUGAUUUAAUAGCCAUGAAUAACGCUGAUUUUAUCAUCACCAGCACCUACCAAGAGAUUGCAGGAACGAAAAAUACAGUUGGACAGUAUGAGAGCCACACUGGUUUUACUCUUCCUGGGCUGUACAGGGUUGUCCACGGCAUUGAUGUUUUUGAUCCCAAGUUCAAUAUUGUUUCUCCUGGAGCAGAUAUGUCAAUAUAUUUUCCCUACUCUGAAAAGCAGAACAGGCUUACAUCCCUGCACGGUUCCAUUGAACAGCUACUGUAUGAUCCAACACAGACUGAUGACUACAUUGGAACACUGAAAGACAAGUCAAAGCCCAUAAUUUUCUCCAUGGCAAGGCUAGACAGAGUGAAGAACAUGACAGGAUUGGUUGAAUUAUUUGGUAAGAGCAGCAAAUUGAGGGAGCUGGUAAACCUUGUUGUAGUAGCUGGUUACAUAGAUGUAAAGAAGUCCAGCGACAGAGAAGAAAUUGCAGAAAUUGAGAAGAUGCACAGUCUCAUCAAAGAGUACAACUUAAAUGGUGAUUUUCGUUGGAUUGCUGCCCAAACAAAUAGGGCACGUAACGGGGAGCUGUAUCGCUACAUAGCAGACACACAAGGUGCUUUCGUUCAGCCUGCAUUCUAUGAAGCUUUCGGGCUCACAGUUGUGGAAGCCAUGACCUGUGGACUCCCAACAUUUGCUACUAGCAAUGGUGGUCCAGCUGAGAUCAUCGAGCAUGGUAUAUCAGGAUUUCACAUUGAUCCUUAUCACCCUGAUCAAGCUUCAGAGCUAUUGGUUGAAUUCUUCCAAACCUGCAAGACUGACCCAAGCCAUUGGAAGAAAAUAUCUGAUGGUGGUCUUAAAAGAAUUUAUGAAAGCUACACUUGGAAGAUUUAUUCCGAAAGGCUCUUGACCUUGGCGGGAGUUUACAGUUUCUGGAAAUACGUUUCCAAAUUGGAGAGGCGUGAAACUCGACGAUAUCUUGAGAUGUUCUAUAUCCUCAAGUUCCGUGAUUUGGCAAAAUCUGUGCCCCUAGCAAAAGAUGAUGCAAGUUAAUUGGAUGUUUUUAGCGAGGCUUGACAGAAGACACAAUAAUAAUAAUCUAAGCAAAUAAAAGUUUGGUUCUGGUGCUCUCAGAUGUCGUGAUGUGAUGCGACCUAGAGGAGUUUCAUGGAAGACUUGUCUAUGUUAAGUUAGAUUAUGUGAGAGAUGGAAUUGUGCGUCAACAAAGCAGUGUUGCUGAAAGUUUCAAUCCUCCAAAGCUUAGGAGGAAUGCUUCUGCUGCAUCUAAUAUAAGUAGCACUGCUUCCCAGGUGGUCCAACACUUCCAGAGGUAACACAACUCAUUUAUACCAGAGGGAGGCUUUAGAUCCAUGACUUGUGAAUAGUGAAAGAAUCUGAUAAAGCAUAAACGAGACCAACAUAAAGGCUUUAAAUGGUGCUGAUUUGGAAAGCUAACGAAUCACGUUUUUUGGGGCAUCAAAGGUUGCAGCCACAGCCAGUACUGGGAAAUUGGACUUGUUAAGGAACUUGGGAGCAGACUUAGCCAUUGAUUAUACAAAGGGGCUGCUUGAAGAGCUGGAAGAAAAAUUUGAUGUAGUGUACGAUACAGUAGGCAGAGUGAGAUUGAUAGAACAUUGAAGGUUGUUAAAGAAAAUGGGAAAGUUGUGACAGUAGCAGCACAUGGAAGUUCUUCAGAUAUCUUCGUAAUGCUCAUACAGGGUAUAUUCCCUGCCCAUCAUUGACAUAAUUCGGGGUUUUGGAUUGGAUAUAUUGAAAGCCAAGAUGGAAAGAAAGAAGAACAAACUAUGGGCAAGCUUUGUUGUUGAGGCAAACAGACACAUGACAAGGAUAGAUGUGUUUAGGAUACACUUAGCAAAAUGAAUAGGUGAUCAAUUCCCAACUAAGUUCCCAAGGAAGAGGCUGUGCAAAAUGAAUAGGAAAGCGAAAGAGUUGUAAGCAAAGAAGAUGGAAUGUUUGGAAAACUUGUGCAUUUGUUUUGGACUCUUGAAGUAAUGUUUAAUAUCUAAUAAUUAGGAGCUAUUGGCCAACCUAAAAGAUUGGACAAUUUUAGCAAUUAUUCUUGAAUUUUUUUUUAAUUUGUAUGGUUGAAUAAUGUUAAUUUUUAUGUUCAAUAAUUAAUUGUAUUUAAAAAUGUUAACAAUGUUUAGAUAUAUUUUAUAUAAUAAUAUUUUAUUUUAUUUUCAAA